rnacentral:rRNA from 1 species
UUUUGGUUAAUAAUUUAAAGUCUAAUCUGCCCCCUGAUAAUAUAUUAAAGGGCUGCAGUAUUUUGACUGUACAAAGGUAGCAUAAUCAUUAGUCUCUUAAUUGGUGACUUGUAUGAAAGAUUUAAUGAGAUAUAUACUGUCUCUUUUUAAUUUAUAAAAUUUAAUUUUUUAGUAAAAAAGCUAAAAUAUAUUUAAAAGACGAGAAGACCCUAUAGAGUUUUAUAUUUAAUUAAAUUAAAAUUUUUUAUAAGAUUUAAAAUUUUAUUUUAAUUAAAUAUUUUGUUGGGGUGACAAAAAAAUUAAAAAAACUUUUUUUAUAAAUUUACAUUAAUAAAUGAAUAAAUGAUCCGUAAUUUACGAUUAAAAGAAAAAAUUACCUUAGGGAUAACAGCGUAAUUUUUUUUUUUAGUUCAAAUAAGAAAAAAAGUUUGCGACCUCGAUGUUGGAUUAAGAUAAAAUUUAAAUGCAAAAGUUUAAAAUUUUUGAACUG